GACAGAGGCCUCGAGCGUUAGGCGGAAUCACUGGGCUUAAAGCGUGUGUAGGCGGGCCCGUAAGUGUCUUGUGAAAUCCCACGGCUUAACCGUGGAACUGCUUGGCAUACUGGCGGUCUUGAGCAACCUAGGGGCAAGCGGAACAAAUGGUGGAGCGGUGAAAUGCGUAGAUAUCAUUUGGAACGCCAAUGGUGAAAACAGCUUGCUGGGGGUUUGCUGACGCUGAGACGACGAAAGCCAGGGGGAG
rnacentral:rRNA from 1 species